UAAAAGAGAUCACUUGACACUUAUUGUUCUCUCUUUUCUUUCACAAACAGGUUGAGUUUGAAGAACAAGAAAAACAGUAGAGGUCUACCUGGUACCUAUGGUUAAACAUGAUGAUCAUAAGUGCAUGUAUCAUUUUGCAGAUUCUCAUCCAGGAUGAUGCAACUCUACAAUUUCCAUGGAGGUGAUUGAUGAUGAUAAACAAUUGGUGAAGUAGGCCUAAUAGAACAGUGAUAGGACCACAAAGAGAAAUACAACCUACAGCAGUUAUAUGAGACUGGUGUAACAGAUGUUUUCAUUCAAGAAAUCCAACAAAUUGAAGAGUGACUUAGCUUAGGAAGCACUUGAUAAAGAUGGAAAAGUUUGUUUUUUUUCAAGUCCAAUUUUUUUUUUUUUAAUUAUCAUCACAACCCCAAAUUCAUGAAGUAUGAAAUUUCCUGUCGAUUUUCAUUUAAACUGGUUGCAAAAGGAAAAGCUAUAAACAUACAAAUAGGAGCGGCGAAGUGAAG